UAGGGAAUUUUCCGCAAUGGGCGAAAGCCUGACGGAGCAAUGCCGCGUGGAGGUGGAAGGCCUACGGGUCGUCAACUUCUUUUCUCGGAGAAGAAACAAUGACGGUAUCUGAGGAAUAAGCAUCGGCUAACUCUGUGCCAG
rnacentral:rRNA from 1 species